rnacentral:ncRNA from 1 species
GUUUCGGGGCGGGGUGAAAUUCCCCACCGACGGUAAUGCGGCAAUGUUUUGGAAUGUUGUGCUGUGAUUUCAUGCGGCGCCUUUCCUUUGCAGCCGACGAGCCCGUGAGCGAAAGCCGAUUUGGUGAGAUUCCAAAGCCGACGGUACAGUCCGGAUGAGAGAAA